UAGGAGAUAGUGUGCGUGAGAUGUUAUGACGCUGAUGACGCAUCCACGGAUAUUGUCGUCGGGAAUCUAAGAAGCCGAGAUUUCAGGAAAUAAGACUGAUCGGUACACAUGUAUGCAUGGCCUCUGAUUUUUUAUGUUUUGCUUUCGUUCAUACGGAAGGAGAGAACUCCAAAAAGACUUCCAGGAUCGAUCCUGGAACUUGUAUUAUUUAUCAGCUGUAUAAAUAAUGUUUGGAGACGCGUCAAGCGUUAGAAAACCCACCAUGGAAACAGUAGGUACUAUAACAAUUUAUUUCCCAUUUAUCAUCUUUUUAGUGAAGAAGGAAAAAGAUUUUCCAUUUAUUCUUACUGUAGUAUUCGUCGGGAAAAAUCAGCCGACGUCAUCAGUAUUCCGAGUGUUCCGAGUUUUCCUCGUUUCCGGGAUUACCAGAGGUUGACAAUGAAUCACGAAUGUCACGAUUUUGCGUUAUUUAAUGUCGUAAAUCGAUGCCAAUUAAAUGCGUCGUUUUGAAUUACUAAAAAUCAAUAAAAAUUGAAACCUUAUUGUUUCAUUUACUCCCCAAUGUCCAUUUCUACUGCGAUCUCAAAUUCUUAGAAUCAGGAAAAGAUAGUAAAGAUAAGUUAAGCCGAGAUUAAAAUUAAUCUACAUUGGUAGAAUUAAAUGAACAUAAUAUAGUAACUCCAACAAAAAACUCCGAUUAACGUAAUAAGCGAUUAUCUCGUCAAGUAACAUCUGUGUUAUUGUUUUGUUAACGCGAAGAGAAUAAAUAAUUUCUGCCGGUUUUAACCGCCGACUAAGUUAACCGGAAUUUCACCAAAGUUUAUUGCAAUAAAAUCGUCAUAUAAUUCCUUUGUACAUAGUUUCAUAUAUAUCCUCCGAAGAAACAAAUCGUUAACUGUGGGAGUUAAAAUCGACGAGACUAUAUGGUCUUUUUAUUUUCUCGCUCACCUGUUUCGUUCAUUUUGCCGUCUUUACUUAAUUGCCAUUGUGCCAACCUAACGAUUACGUAAUCGCUUUGCUUAAUUGCAGUUAUUUGCAUUUCGCUUAUCUUCUCGCGAAAGACAACAGCUUGUCGCGCAUUAUUAUCGUGCAUUACAGUUAUAUCACACUUUGUACUGGUUUAUACUACUUGAUGAUUAGACUUGAUGGAUAUAUAUAUUGUAAUUUUUCCCUAUUUUCUACAGAAAAACAAAUAAGUGGAUCAACAUCGCAAUCGCAUAUAUGUAUACGUGUCAUUAUCGCGCUACUUAUUUUAUCGCGAUUAAAACUUUCUUUCACUUCAUACUCCUAAAAUUUCCACACUCUAUUGUAGUAAUAAUUGUGUAAUAUUUUCUUAUCUGUUAAAAAUUCUGUCACCUAUAUUAAUUGUUUAGUAAUCCCUUACAUCUUUCGCUGUACAACGGGAUAGCUAAUCAAUUGUGAAACUGUUUUUAUUAAUUAUCUCUACGUGAUAACUUACUUAUCGCAGCGUCUGUAUAAACGAUUUUAGUUUCAACGUCGAAUACCGAGAUAGACUGGAAAAAUGAAUCUGCUCAUCUUUAGUAUCUAAUCGUGGGACACUAAAAUAAUGCCAGUAGAGAUAUCGAGUUAUACGUGGCAAUCGUCAAGCAAUACAUUAUUUCUUCAUGUCAUCGGACAAAAUAUACUUUUUUUUUUAAAACCUCGCGCUUUUUAAGCGAAUAACUCGAUUUUGUUUCUUAUCUAGUUGAUAAUGAAUUACAGUCACUAUUUUCAUUUGUGGAUAUUUAAAGACAAUAGAAAAGUGUUUUAUUGCUUGCAAUAAAAUUUCCAAGCAAAUAUUGUGUCUCCAGAAGAAAGAUAUUCUCAAAGACGUCUAUCCUAAGACAUUCUGCUCAUAAUGUAAAUAAAAGAAAUAAAAUAAAGUGCUGGUCUUUGAAAUUGAAA